UCAGAGGAAGCUCUUCAAGGGUAUCUGUGCUUUACAGUAAUUUGACCAAUUUCCAUGAAAGUUUCCAACACCUUGAUGAAUGAGUGACCUCCCAGGGCUGUGAGCCUCUCAACCAACUUGGCAUCUCCUUCCCUAAUGAAUACUCCAACUCUUCAUCCCUCCUCAUCCUGGACAAUUCUUACUCAGGCCUCUUGCUCCUCUCAGAGAAAAUUGUAGCUGAUGGGACGCAAGUAUCAAGAGGAUUGGAGGAAAGAGGCGGCCACUGGCAAAAUGACUGUAAUCUACUUUGUUCCCAGAGGUGAGCUGAUUGCCUGCUAGUCACCAGAAAGGGUUUCUGCUGCUCAUGGGCCUAGAGAAGCUGAGGCCUAUCUGAAACAUGAGAAUGGAUGAGAGAAUAAUCAGCUAUCCAAAUGGGUUGGAGUGGGCACUGCUCCCAGGCCAGGUGAACCAGAUGAGUCCUUUGGCAGAAGAAUCUCCUCUCUCAUCUGCCCAUGCUGACGAAGGCUACUCAGCAUCCAACUGGCAGCAGAAGUGCCCAAGGAAGAGCAAAGGACAUGGGACAAUCUGCUCUCUGACCUCCAGAAAAUGGCUCAACGUUGUAAGGAUGCUUACCUUAUCUGCUUGCUCUUGUUCUCAGAAUCAUUUCCUGAAAUUAUGCUUUGGGAAAGCUGAUGAAUGGAUAGAGCGAAGAUCUUGGUACCAGCAUUCUCAGAAGUAAAGAGAGUGGAAUGGAGGGAUAGUAGGAACUAAGGAGUAAGUUGGUUCUUAUCUUGCCAGAAGACAUUUUAGAGAUGCUACUGCCAACCUUCUCUGGGUCCUACCAAGGACAACAUCCACACUUCUAUGAAAAAAAACUGGUUUGGAAUAAACUGAUUGUAAGACUCAUGGUUCAAGGCUCAAAAUGUGAAAACACCAAGAAAAUACUUUGGCUACUCCAGACAUUAAAGGAAGAAGGAAAGGGGGGAACCAUAAAACAAAGUCUAUGGGGAAAGGCCUAUUCAUUAUUCCCGAUCAAAUUACAUAAUAUCUAUAAGUACUAAGCAUGGUGUCUAGCACAUGGUAAGUAUUUAAAUUGCUAUUUUUCUUCCCUUCCUCUGAUCAAAUGGAAGCUCUGGGCUGAGAUUCUUCCAGUGCAUAAGAGUCUAGGAAGGCCAAGUGAGGGGCUGUAAUUUUGCUGUUAUGGUAGAGGAGCACAUAGUAGGUAUCUAAUAAAUUGUUCUCUUCCUUUCUUCUUUUUUUUUAAACCCUUACCUUCUGUCUUGGAAAGGCAGAAGAGUGGUAAGGGCUAGGCAAUGGGGGUCAAGUGACUUGCCCAGGGUCACACAGCUGGGAAGUAUCUGAGGCCAGAUUUGAACCUAGAACCUCCCAUCUUUAGGCCUGGCUCUCAAUCCACUGAGCUACCCAGCUGCCCCCUCUUCCUUUCUUCUGAUCAAAUGGAAACCCUGGAUCUUUGCCUGUAGGCAGAUGUCUAACUGAGCUAAGCUAAGGACUGUAACUUUGCAUUGAUGAGAGUUUAGUCUAUGUUAUUGUACAGAUAAUAUAAUGUUUUAUAAUAUGUUCUAUUAUAAGAGGGGCUUACGUUGGUUCUGACUGCUAAGCCCCUUUCCAGAUCUCGCAUGUUCUGAUUCUGUGGAUCUGUUGAGCAAACGAUUCAUCUCUGAUUAUACUUUCCUAACCUUUACUUACUCUGUAAUCCAUCCACACUUGCUAACUAUGCCCAGCACAUACUAGGCACCUAAUGAAUGUUAACUGACUGCCUCACCAUGACAUUCCAUAUCUCAUCUCCUUACUUUUGCAUUGUCAAGAACCCAUUUCUGAGACAUUUUUCCUCCUCCCCAUAACCCUUUGCUUCCAUGGCUUCCUUCAAGACUCUACUCCAAUGAUACCAACUUCAGGAUGCCCAUUACCCUCUUCCUCCCCAACUCCUUCCCAACUUCUCUGUGAUUUUUGUCAUUAAAUCCUUUUUGUAAGUGUCCAACUUCAUUCCAAGUAUUAAGAAUGCUUUCUUUUGGUUCCUCCAACUCUGAAACUUCGGCCAAAACACAGUCCCUACAUCCUAUCGAUAGUGGUACUCACUUGUGAGCAAAUCAUUAACAUGUUGUAAAAGUUAAAAUUAAAUCUCCAAUAAUAAAAUAUUAUAUUUUAGAAGGUUUAUUAAAUGAUCAUUAGAAAUCAAGGAAUAAAGAAUAAGUACCACAUGUCCAUGCCUGAUCAUCCUGUUGAAAAUUCCACUCACCACCAUUGAGCCAAAAUGCCAAAGACAGUGGGACCCUCCACAGCCCCACCUAAUAUCUCCCAUCUACAGAUAGUACGUAAUGAUAGGAAGUCAGGGGGCUCUGGGAAAUAUAGUUCUUUUUUAGGGUAACAGAUUUUCAAUUAUACAAUGCAUAAUUGCUUAAUUAUGUCUUCAUUACUACAUUUGAGGUUUUCUGAGCAAAAAUACUAGAAGGAUUAGCCAUUUUCUUUUUCCAAUUUAUUUACAGAUGGGGAAACUGAGGCAAACAGAGUAAAGUGACUUGCUCAGGGUCAUGUAGGUAUUAAGAAUCUGAGAUUGGGGAGACUUCCUGAGGCAAAGCCAAGAUGGUGGAGUAAUCUAGAGCAUCUUUGUGCCACCAUGAGAAUCCUCUCUAAUCAACAUUAAAAUAUCAACACAAAACAAGUACAGGAAUGAAAGAAACAACAAGAAGACAGAGUGAAAUAACUUUCAAAAAAAGAAAAACCCAAAAGGUAUGCAGAGAGCGGUACAAACCAACCCACACUCCUUGAAAUUCCAAACCUUUGGAGAAGUCCAGAGUCACAGGCCAGGACAGUCUGGACUGAAGUGGGCUAAUCCAUGUAGACCCAGAGCAAAGUGAGGAAUCCUAAUCUGAGCUUGGAAUUAGGGCAUAGUAAACAGUUUGGGGUGGCUUAUAGUAUUAAGUACUAAGUACUGAUAUUUUUGCUUAACACUCAGGGCAGAGCUCUAAGACAGGACAAUCAAGGAUGUUCCUGAAUCAAUCAAGUACACUGUGAAACCAAAAACUUGAGCCUAAGCCUGAAGCCAGAAUUUGAUCAGCCCUUGACAUGAUCAAGUUCAGAGUGAGAUCAAAAGUCUGUACUCAAGCCUGAGACAAAUCUUUUACUAUCCACAUCUUAAGGAUCAAUUAAAUAAGUUGGGCAGGGGGCUCUCAGAGCUCUCAGCCCUCUGACCAUCACAUCAUCCCACAAGUCUAUUUAUAAUUGAUAGGAAAAAUGAGCAAACAGCAAAAAAGUAUCCAACACUAAAUAAUUUUUAUGGAAACAAAAAAAGUAAGGUACAUAUACAGAAGGGGACAGUGAAAGUAAAGGAAACACGCCCAAAGUCCUAAAGGAAAAUAUGGACUGGACAGAGAUUCUUGAAGAGCUCAAAAAAAAGACUUCAAAAACCAAUAAAAGUGGGAAAGAGAAAUGAAAGUGACCCAAGAAGAAAUCAUCCAAUUAAAAAAGGAGAACCAAAAAGUGAGAGAGGAAAAUCAGUUCUUAAAAAUGAGAAUUGACCAUAUAGAACCUAAUGAUUCCAUGAGAAACCAAAAGUCAAUAAACCAGAAUGAAAGGAAUAAAAGAAAAAAAAACAGAACAAAACAUGAAAUAUCUUAAUGAAAAAAACUAAUGACCUAGAAAAUAUAUCUAGAAGAGAUAAUUUAAGAAUUAUUGAACUAUCUGAAAGCCAUGAUCAAGAAAAAACCUUGGAAUCACACUAUAAGAAAUUAUCAAAGAAAACUGCCAAGAGAUUCUUGAACAAGAAAUUAAAAUUGAAAUUUAAAAAAUUCACAGAUCAUCUCCAGAAAGAAAUCCUCAAAUGAUGACUUCCAGGAAUGCAAUAACUAAAUACAAGAGCCAGCAAGCUAAGAAGAAAAUUCUUCAAACAGCCAGAAAGAAACCAUUCAGAUACCAUGGAGCUACAAUCAGGAUCACAAAGGACCCAGUGACUUCUAUAUUAAAGGACUGAAAGGCAUGUAAUAUGAUAUUCAAAAAGGCAAAAGAUUAGGGUUUACAACCCAGAGUCAAUAAUCCAGCAAAACUGAGUAUAUUUUUUCUGGAGAAAAAAAUGGACACUCAAUAAAAUAAAAGAUUUCCAAGCAUUACUGAGGAAUAAGGCAGACCUAAACAAAACAAAACAAAAGAAAAAAAAAGUCCAAACACAAGACACAAGAGAAGCCCAAAGAGGUAAAUAAUAAAGAGAGAAUUUAAGGAA